rnacentral:tRNA from 1 species
AGGUAAGAUGGCUGAAUGUUUAAGUGGCGGGUUGUAGCCCUGCAUAUAGGGGUUCUAUUCCCCUUCUUUC